rnacentral:lncRNA from 1 species
GUCACUCGUUUUCUAAACACAAGAGCAAUGAAGGAAACUUUCAAGAGUUACAUGGAGUUGCUCGUCAGCAUUGCUCUGGAUCCUGACACCAUGCAAGCCCUAGAAAAGAGCAACGAUGAGCUUCUUUUACCACAUAUGAAAAAAAUAGAUGGCAUGCUGAAUGAUAACCGGAAAAGACUGCUUGUGAAUCUUCAUUUGGACCAGCCGUUCAAGAAUGCUUUGGAAAGUUUUCCUGAACUGACAAUUAUUACUCGAGACUCUAAAGCAAAGAGUGGAGGAUCUGCUAUUUCUAAAAUCAAAAUGAAUGGCAAAGCUUAUAAUAAGAAAACUCUAAGGACUUCUAAAACAACCACUAAGUCUGCACAGGAGUUUGCUGUUGAUCCUGAGAAAAUACAGUUAUAUUCGUUAUAUCAUUCACUCCAUCAUUAUAAAUACCAUGUUUAUCUGAUUUGUAAGAAUGAGAUAUCAUCUGUACAGAAAAAAAAUGAAGAUUUAGGACAGGAAGAAAUUGUUCAACUUUGUAUGAAAAAUGUAAAGUGGGUGGAGGACCUAUUUGAAAAAUUUGGAGAACUUCUAAAUCAUGUACAACAGAAAUGUCCCUAACAUUUCCACAGAGUCCACCUUUUUAUAGCACUAAUGAAGUGUGGAAGGCCAUUGUCACAGAUCAUCCAGUCCUCUGGCAGAGGGGAACUGUGACCAGACAGUGAU